UGCUGCAAAAUGAACUGUUCCUGUUGUUCCUGCAAUGGCACGUGCUCAAGUAAAUCCUCGGCCGGUAUAUUCGCUUCCACGAUUUGGCCUUUUUUCGAUCCAGUUGUGUACGAUUCACUGCGACAACUGAUCAAGGAUUCGCACACCAAGAGUGAAAUUAGCAUUCUACAGAGUCUGGAGCUGAACUUUGUGAAAUCAACGUGUUCGAUUACGUGCGGAAAUAUGCCGAGUAUCGUAUGAUCAAGACGCAAGAGAAGGCUUUGGAUGUAAGUAUCUUCCUGAUGCGGGACCAUACGCUCGGGAGUGUUAGAAGUGUUACCGGACACAGCACUGGAUCAACUGACGGCGGAAGACUUGAGACUACUGUUGAAUGGCGUCGGAGACAUCCACGUUGAUACACUGAUCUGAUACACUUCGUUCAAUAAUGAAUCGAUCAAAAGCAGCAACAAUUUGCUGAAAUUUAAACGAUGGCUCUGAAGUUUAGUGGAGAAGAUAAGCAACGUGGAGCGACAGGAUUUGGUCAACUUCUGGACAGGAUCGCCAGCCCUGCCAGCCUCUGAGCAUGGUUUCCAACUGAUGCCAUUGGUUACGAUCCGACCGGCGGACGAUGCCCAUCUCCCGACUGCAAACACUUGCAUCUCCCGGCUAUACAUCCCGCUCUACUUGAGCAAGGCCGUUCUCCGACACAAGCUGCUAUUGGUGAUUGAAACGAAAAACUUUGGAUUAGUUUAGAUUAUAAUCACCCUAC